GAUGAAGAACGUAGCGAAAUGCGAUACUUGGUGUGAAUUGCAGAAUCCCGUGAACCAUCGAGUCUUUGAACGCAAGUUGCGCCCGAAGCCAUUAGGCCGAGGGCACGCCUGCCUGGGCGUCACACGUCGUUGCCCCCCCAUCUACUCCUUCGGGAUUGCGGGGGGCGGAUGAUGGCCUCCCGUGCGCCUCGCCGCGCGGUUGGCAUAAAUGCCAAGUCCUCGGCGACGCACGCCACGACAAUCGGUGGUUGCGAAACCUCGGUUGCCCGUCGUGUGCGGUCGUCGCGCAUCGAGGGCUCGAAAAAAUUGCCGGGUUCCGGCUCAGCUUUCAACGCGACCCCAGGUCAGGCGGGGUUACCCGCUGAAUUUAAGCAUAUCAAUAAGCGGAGGA
rnacentral:misc_RNA from 1 species